rnacentral:lncRNA from 1 species
CGUGUAGACUGUACCCGGUCUUCAGAAUGAGAUCUUUUGUGAGGCAUUCAGUCCAUUAAUUAGAAAAUUGCCUUCAUCUUAGAUGCUGGUGUUUCGGC